GGAGUUAAUAAGAUACAGUUCACUGGGAUGUUUAAAAGGCAUAAGACAAAAAGAGCCAGAUUAAAUUUUCGUAAUCAUUGCCACCUUAACACUGUAUCUUGCAUGACAGGUCAGAUGAGGUUUUGAAACUGCUGCACUGCUGGCUUAAUUCACUCUUGAAGCAGCUUAAAGGAGCAAUCUUGUCCUCCUUGUAUCACUCGCUCUCUUCUGAGUUUUGCACAACCAAAUAAAUUUCACUUCUCUCCA